CCCUAGGACAGGGGCUAACAGGGGCUACUGCCUGUUUUCAUAAGUUUUAUUGGGAGACAGCAUGCCUGUUUGUCUGUCUUGUCUUAGCUGGUCAAGCACUACAAUAGCAGCAGAGCAGUUGCAACAGAUCCCAUGUGGCUGGCAAAGUCAAGAAUGUUUAUUAUCUGGCCCUUGCAAAUCAGUUUGCCAACCCCCUCCUAGAAGGUAAGACUGGCAGUUAGCCCUUCCGAAGGAGCAGGUAGGUCCACCUGGCUAACCAAGCAGAAGGGCCUGUCUGCCCGCUCCUCCUCUUUAUCAUCUUUGGGAGCGGCAAUCCCCAGGAGGAGGCAGUCUCUGCACUAGAGGGAGAGGGAAAGCAGCCCCCCAGCCACUGCCCAUCUCCCCAUCUUCUCCCCAGACAGCCCACUCUUCAGCCCCCGGGUGCAGAGGGAACAUACAUGGAGGCAGCUUUGCUGGCCACAUGUGGCUGCACAGGCUGUCUGUACCCAAAGGCAUCUGGCCUGGGGGGCACCCAGGGAUCGACGUCCAGUCACCAAGAUAUGGGCCUGGCAUGGCUCCAUCUUCCCAGAGAAAAGGGCAUCUCCUAAGUCUCAUACAGGCACCUACGGCCCACAGGAGCUAGGAUCGCAUUGCUGGUGGGAGCCUGGGUUUCAGUUUGCCUCUUGGCCUUGACCUUGGGCAAGAGAUGCAAAUUUUCCUAGCCUCAGUUUCCUCAUCUGCAAAAUGUCAACAAGAGUAGCACUGCGGCUACUGGACAAAGACCCUCCGAAGAUGUGCAAUCCCAGUCCCUUCAGCCCGUGAGUAUGGACCUGUAUGGCAAAGGGGACUCGGAAGAUGUGGUAAGCUAAAGAUUUUGAGAUGGGGUGAUGACCUGGGUUAUCCAGAUGGGCCGCAUAUGAUCACAGGGGUCCUGAUAUAUUCACGGGAGGCAGCGGGGCAGAGUGAGGGGUAAGAGAUGUGAAGCCAGCAGCCAGAUGUAGGAAAGCCAGGGAAGAGGCCACGAGCCAAGGAAUAUGGGUGCUCUAGGGGCUGGAAAAGGCAAGGAAAUUCUCCCCAGAGCUUCCAGAAGGAAACAGUCCUGCCAACACCUUGACUUUAGCCUAGUGAGACUGAUUUGGGACUUGUAGUUUCAGAACUGUAAGAUCAUAGGUUUGCGUGGUAAGCUCUGAGUUUCUGAUCUGUUACAGCCACAGGAGACUCACACAGGCACCCAGCUCAGAGGGUGUUGGCAAGGAUGAGCCAAGCCAGUGCCUCCAAACAUCUGGCCUCUGGGGAACUGCAUGGAGCUCAGUACCGGGGAGCUGCUGCCACCAUACAGACAAGGAGGCUUCCUCACCUCCACCCUCCCUCCGGCCCCUCCUUCUGGCCCUGGGGAGGGCUGCCAUCCCCAAAACUCCUGCAAAGAUAAGGGGUGACCUCUGACCAUGUGAGGAAAGGCCGGGGCCAAAGAUGGCCAGAUGGUGGAGAUUACAGCAAUUCUGUAAUCCGUGGGCCUGUCCACAGUCCCCAGACAAAGGGAGGUGGGGCAGUGAUGUCAUCAUUUACAGGCUUUGGCUUGCAUAACGGGUUUCAAGUACAGCAAGUGGGGAAAGCAAAAGUUAUUUUCAAAUUGGUCAUUGGCAGCUGGCUGGCCAGACCAUUCCCUGUGAAAAGCAAUCAUGCAGGAACAGACUUGUCCGUCCACGCUUUUCCUCUGCUGGUCCAGCCCGCAACCUCUUCCGGCUCAGGGACAGCCCUCCCUCCUCCAGCAGCUUUGCCCAGUUACCUCGCCCCAGGUGACCAAUUCAUCCUGGUUUGCCAGGGGCUUUCCUGGUUUUAAUGCUGAAGAUCCCAUGUCCAGAGAAGACCCCAGACCCCAGGCAAACUGGGACAGCUGGUCACCCAAUUCGGCCCACCCCACAGCGGCUUCCCAGUGCUCGGGCGCUUUGCCCUGCCUAGGGCACCCCCUUUUCCUUGGAGUCCCGCGAAUGAGGCAGGUUCUGCCUGGCAGCAGGGCCCCACCCAUGCUGACCCUCUGCCCAGAAUCUUCUUCCUUCUGGUUUAUCUUGGCUGGCCCUGCUCAGGGGCCUUGACUACCUCCUCUACAACAAAGCCUGCCUGGCAUGCUAUGCAUGGACAUAUACCAGAGGAGCUGAGACGGCCCAGCCCAGGCCUGAACAAGGCACUGGACCACAUGAGCUCUCUUCCUCCAAAGUUUCCUCCGCAAAGACCUGCUGGGCCUGUGCUGUGCGCCAGGCUCUGGACAGGGAGAUGGACAAUAAAGAAAUAAACAAGUUUACAUGGCAGCAGGUAUGAUGAAAAGAAAAGAAAAACCUUCACAUUUGCCGACGAGGGGACCGGGAAGAAAGCAGGCCCACAGCUCCCAUCGCUCCCCAAGGCUUCCUGCCAGGCCUGGAAGAUGCUGCCAAAGGUUAACUCAUCAAAGAUGAGGGGAUAAUAAAACAUAUGGGGAAGGAGAUGGGGAACUGAGAUGUCAGGAUGAUUAGAUAGUCACCUUGGAGAGUAGAUUAGAAAGAGGUAUGAAACUCGUAAGUAGGAGCCCAGCUCUAGCAUCCAAAAAUUCCACCUCAAGGUACCUACUUAGAGAAAUCUCUACACUUAUGCAGAGAAAAUAUAUACAGAGAUUCAAAUUAUAGCAUUGUUUGAAACAGCAAUAAACUGGGAAUGAUGCCUAUCAACCCACGGAAAGUGAGAUUUAGUUGCACUGAAAUGAAGAUUCUCCAAGAUGUGAUCAUUGUGUGAAAGACAAAGGUGUAGAAAAAUAAGUGUAACAGAACCCCACUUAGAAGAUGGAAAGCCCUACUCUCCAUUCUUCAGGGACCCAUAGUUAUGAAUGCAAAUACACGGAAAGGGUGGAAACCGCUGAUUCCCCAGGAAAGAAGGCAGGGAUAGAGAGCACCUCCAAAGGUCUCUAGGUUUGACACAAAGGUUUCAGUUUUUACAGAAAAUUAUGCAUGGUUAUCUGCACAAUUUUUAUAUUUGUGGAAUCAAACAUUCAAAGGGAAAGAAAAGACAGCGAGGUGGUAGAACAAUGAGGUUGUAUGCCUCAGUGCCAGCUCAGAUGUCAUUAUUUAGUUUGACAAUAAAGACAAAAGCCCCAACAUCUGCCAAGAUCAAGUUACCAUGUACAGAAUAUAAACCUACCCACACUUCACUCAGAUAGAUAAUAGCAGUACCGCUUAGCUUUUGUUUUAUUGGGUUUAAAAAAAACAAGCCACCACUCCAACAAAAAUAAACCAUCUAUUUAAAACCAUAGCCCUUUUAUUUAGCUCCCAAAUCUGUGGGUCACCUGGGUGAUUUUUCUGAUCUGGGCCAGCCAGGCUGCUAUUUGCUGGGUUUACCCACCAGCGUGUGGCCAUUUGGCAGCUAGGCAAUCUAGAAUCAUCUAACUCUUGUGUCUGGAAUGCGGCACCUUGUUUUCCUUAAGGUGGCUCUCAUCCUCCAACAGGCUAGCUCGGGCUUAUUCACAUGGGGGUGUCAGAGUUCCAAGAGAAUUACUGAGAAUGCUAUAAUGCCCCUUGAGGCAUAGGCUCUGAAAUUCACACAGUGUCACUUCCAUGACAUUCCAUUGGCCAAAGCAUGUAGCAAGACCAGCCCGUGUUCAAAUGGUGGGAAAUAGACUCGACUCUAUUCAGUGAAUAAAAAGAACAGCUCCUCUGUGCCAGGCCCUGUGUUAAGCAUUUUAUAUACAUUUUCUCAUUAUCUUCUCACAGCAAGCCUGUGAACAAGGUAUGGGUAUGUAGUCACACUUAACAGAUGAAGAAACUGAAGCACGCUGGGGGGUCAGGGAAAGGGCUCCAGGAGGCCUUUACUCCUCCCACAGACUCUCUCCUGCAGAUGCCUAGAAGCCACCAUUCCUGACUCCUGAUUUUCACCUGCUGUGGGCUGGAUUGUGUCACCCUGAUUCAUGCGGUUAAGCCUGGAUUCCCGGUGUGGCCUUAUUUGGAGUGUGGGAGUAAUAAGGUUAAAUGAGGUCACAGAGUGAGCCCUGAUCUCGUAGGAUUGGUGUCCUUGUAAGAGGAUACACCAGAGAGCUCACCCUCUCUCUCCACCAUCCGGGGUCACAGAAGGUGGCCAUCUGCAAGCCAGGAAGAGGGCUCUCAUCGGAAACCAAAUUGGCUGGCACCUUGAUCUUGGACUUCUAAGACUCCAGAACAGUGAGAAAUCAGUGCCUGUUGUUCAAGCCCCCAGUCUGUGGUAUUUUGUUAUGGCAGCCUGAGCAGACUAAGACAUCUGUCUGUCCACUUUUAAAAUACAGUGUCCUUGAGCUGAUGGUUACACCCCCUCCUAAUUCUUCAAAGUGCACAUGUUUUUACUGCUCUCCUUCCCAGCAAGCCACACUUCAGUGUAAAGUUCCUAUGCAGAACCAGUCUCCAGCCCUAUUUUUCUCUGCUUUUUUAUGAUUCCUCAGUGUGCUUCCUCUGCUUAGAAGACACAGGUUUGGCAAGCACUGCUUAGACCCAACAGGUGUGUCCUAAGUCAAAAGAGAACAUCUCAACAGGAAGAGAAAUGGGUUUGAAGGCACCUUGACUGUUGUGUCUGCCAGAAACACUUCAAAGAUGAUGAAAAUAAAGAGGAAACAGCACUCCACCCAGCAGUGCACAGAUUUGGUGGCAAUGGUGGUAUCUGAAAGAGACUUCCUACAGCUUUGGGGACAAUGAGAAGCAAAGCAUGGUCCUCAUGAAGCCUUUGAGGUCUCUGUCUUUCUCAUCAUUUCCAAGGGCCAUGGAUAAGUUCCUCUGGGUUCUGAGCUCCCCUGUCUUUGCAUUGAGCUCCUGGUCUAAUUGGCUUUCCAGUCUACAAUCCCAAUUUGAUCAGAAACCCCACCCCUUGGCUUAGUCUCCAGAUUCCAUGUUGAGAACUGCUGGUCAUUCAGCCCAGUUCCCCAUUUGUUUGGAAUCCCCGUCCACCGUCCCACUUGUUGAGGUCUGCUGGCUCAAGCCUUUCUUUCCCCAGUGCUCAGGUGCACAUCAGGAAUUGCUGGUGGUGCACACAGGGGCUUCUCUUGGCCAAUCCAUUGUAAACAUCUGAUUGGUUAUCACCUGUGUUAAGGUGCACAUGAGGUUAUUGUUAAAGGGAAUCUCAAAAGCCAAAAGCCACCAAAUUUGAUAGGCAUAGGUUGAGCACUUAAAAGCUGUUAGAGUGCUUGCCACCUAACUCUAAGAUUCCUGUGUUAGGAGAAAUUGGUCACAGAAUAGGUUAGAUCAACACUAGCUCACCUCCCAACCUCAAGACAAUUUUUAUGCAACAAAGUACACUGUAAGACACUGCACAAUCUCCAACCCAACAGCGUGUCUCUCUUGGGUAUUAGUUUGUCUUUGAGAGCCCCAAAGGCCUAGCCACUGAAAAAAAUGGGAUCCUUAAAUUCCAAAGACUUGUGUGUACCACCUCCCAGCACCUCUGCUUAUUUUAUGUUUAGGAACUAUAGUUCCAGAAUUGGAGAGAUCUACGAAAAUGGCAAAAUCUUAUUAGAAACAGCCUAGAAUUAUAAUGGCCAUUUAUGGAGGAUGUUCCAAUAAGACAAGGUCAUUCAUCAAGCAAGGGUUCCCAGAUCAAGCAGACAGAAUGGGAUACCUAAUUAAGUGGUAUGCAGCAGCUCCCAAAAGGCUUAAUUUAAAAAAGUAAUUGCAAAAGGCUAAUGAAAAAUCAAAAACUCAAGAAGUACCUAAAACAAAAGGCAAUAACAUUGACGUGACUUCUACUGCUCCCCUCUCUCUUGCUUUACUUGAGUCCGUGGAUUCUACUUAUUCUCUCUCUGAACUGCCUUUCUACUCUGAAGAGACUAUUAAAUAGGUACUUUUAAGAUAAAGCCACUUGGGGUUGCAGGAGAUCCAACUCAGGUAUCUUUCACUCCACAGUCAAAGACUAAACUAAGAGCCACAGUUGAAUUUCCUAAACCCAAGGAGAAUCCCCAGAAGUUUUCUGAAGGAUUUGAAGUCCGUACCAGGCUGCCGGAUCUUUAUCAGCUUGUGCACAUUCUGAUAGGACCUGGUGAGGCGCCAGAGAUGGACGUGGGGCAGCAGAAUGGUGUGACCCUGAGGACGACAUCUGAGCACUUCAGUUAUCGACAUGGACCAGAAAAAACUUGCAAGAUAGCAACUGAUCCUUUAAAAGCCAUUCCUUGAGUCUUUCCUGCCUGCACUGGUUUAUCUAACAUUCAAACCUGCAAAUAAAAGAAAGAUGAAUUUGUAGCAGACUUUAAAGCCCAUUUGGAAGCUCUCUGGUAUUCCUGGUUCCAUACAAUGAAUGAGGUCACCCAACCUGCUUUACCUUUCCUAUUUGUAAAUGGAUUAUCUCUUGGGAUUACUGGAUUGAUAAGAAGGCAGAAAAUGUGAUGGGAGGCCACUGGUCUGAGUGAACUCAUAACCAUAACGGAGCACUUGAAACAAGACCACAAACACAAGUCCCUCAAGCUAUUAGUCUUACACCUGCAAUAGCUUUAUGGCCAAAA